rnacentral:rRNA from 1 species
GAAUAUUGCACAAUGGAGGAAACUCUGAUGCAGCGACGUCGCGUGAACGAUGAAGGCUUUCGGGUCGUAAAGUUCUGUCCUAAGGGACGAUAAUGACGGUACCUUAGGAGGAAGCCCCGGCUAACUACGUGCCAGCAGCCGCGGUAAUACGUAGGGGGCGAGCGUUGUCCGGAUUUAUUGGGCGUAAAGGGUUCGUAGGCGGUUAUCUAAGUCAGAUGUGAAAGGCACAGGCUUAACCUGUGUAAGCAUUUGAAACUGGGUGACUUGAGUUAAGGAGAGGAAAGCGGAAUUCCUAGUGUAGCGGUGAAAUGCGUAGAUAUUAGGAGGAAUACCAGUGGCGAAGGCGACUUUCUGGACUUAUACUGACGCUGAGGAACGAAAGCGUGGGGAGCAAACAGG